AACGAACGCUGGCGGCAGGCUUAACACAUGCAAGUCGAACGGUAACAGGCCGCAAGGUGCUGACGAGUGGCGAACGGGUGAGUAAUGCAUCGGAACGUGCCCAGUCGUGGGGGAUAACGCAGCGAAAGCUGUGCUAAUACCGCAUACGAUCUGUGGAUGAAAGCGGGGGACCGUAAGGCCUCGCGCGAUUGGAGCGGGCGAUGUCAGAUUAGGUAGUUGGUGGGGUAAAGGCUCACCAAGCCGACGAUCUGUAGGUGGUCUGAGAGGACGACCAGCCACACUGGGACUGAGACACGGCCCAGACUCCUACGGGAGGCAGCAGUGGGGAAUUUUGGACAAUGGGCGCAAGCCUGAUCCAGCAAUGCCGCGUGCAGGAAGAAGGCCUUCGGGUUGUAAACUGCUUUUGUACGGAGCGAAAAGGCUCUCUCUAAUACAGGGGGCUCAUGACGGUACCGUAAGAAUAAGCACCGGCUAACUACGUGCCAGCAGCCGCAGUAAUAC
rnacentral:rRNA from 1 species